rnacentral:rRNA from 1 species
GACAGAGGGUGCAAACGUUGUUCGGAAUUACUGGGCGUAAAGCGAGUGUAGGCGGUUUGGUAAGUCGGAUGUGAAAGCCCCGGGCUCAACCCGGGAAGUGCACUCGAUACUGCCAAGCUAGAGUAUCGGAGAGGUUGGUGGAAUUCUCGGUGUAGAGGUGAAAUUCGUAGAUAUCAGGAGGAACACCGAUGGCGAAGGCAGGUCUCUGGGCUGACACUGACGCUCAUGCACGAAAGCGUGGGGAGCAAACAGG